AAUAAGUGCAGUUUUGCACUAUUUAUGUUCAAUGUUUGACUGUUCGUUUUAUUUAAAAUUUUUUUAUUAUUAGUAUUUUUAUUGCUAUUAGAUGAUAAAACAUAAAUAGUACUUUAUGUGUGACUAAAUAUUUUCAAAAUUUUCGCAAAUUUUUCAAAUAAAACGGACGGUCAAACGUUGGGCACGGAUAUCCACGGCUGCACUUAUU
rfam:Oryza sativa (indica cultivar-group) chromosome 9, whole genome shotgun sequence.